GACGUAGGGGACGAGCGUUGUUCGGAAUUACUGGGCGUAAAGGGCGCGUAGGCGGCCUUCUAAGUCGGACGUGAAAUCCCUCGGCUUAACCGAGGAACUGCGUCCGAUACUGAAAGGCUUGAAUCCGGGAGAGGGAUGUGGAAUUCCAGGUGUAGCGGUGAAAUGCGUAGAUAUCUGGAGGAACACCGGUGGCGAAGGCGGCAUCCUGGACCGGUAUUGACGCUGAGGCGCGAAAGCUAGGGGAGCAAACGGG
rnacentral:rRNA from 1 species